UGCUUCCGCUCAGAAAUUUCUAGAAACACUGCCAGGAUGCUGCAUCCGCUAUGAUUAGAUAGAAAAUUGAAAUAAAAGCCGAGUGCAGUUAACGUCUCAGUCAGUGAUUCGUGCGAACUAGUUUGCGGCGUUAUUUGAUAUUUACUGCUCAUAAUAAUGGAAGAAUUUGAUUUCGCCUCCUUGAACUCAUCUACCUAUUGUAAGCCAUUCAUAAAUGCAAAAGAUCUGGAAAUCGGAAAUAAAUACCCAAUUACUGAUAUCGGCGUAAUCGGCACCAAGUUUGGAGAUCGAAUUAUGGUCGAAACCGAGACCUUCAAGUGCAUACUGCCGCAGCGUUACCAUACAUACCUCACAGAAGAAAAUCGGCUAGAGUUCCUUAAGUUGACCGUAACAAAUAAAGUUGUAUUUAUAUCUAGUAUAGGAGCGGUAGGCUCAACAACGAAUUUACAAAUAAUUACAUAACCCUAAUUUGAAAUAUGAAUAAAGGUGUUAAC